rnacentral:rRNA from 1 species
AGGACGAACGCUGGCGGCGUGCCUAAUACAUGCAAGUCGAAACGGUCUUUUCUAUGGAAGCUUGCUUCCACUGAAAAGAUAGUGGCGAACGGGUGAGUAACACGUGGGUAACCUGCCCAUAGGAGGGGGAUAACAUCCGGAAACGGGUGCUAAUACCGCAUAGUUUUCUUGAUCGCAUGAUCGGGAAAGGAAAGACGGCCUUUGUGCUGUCGCUUAUGGAUGGACCCGCGGCGUAUUAGUUAGUUGGUGAGGUAACGGCUCACCAAGACGAUGAUACGUAGCCGACCUGAGAGGGUGAUCGGCCACAUUGGGACUGAGACACGGCCCAAACUCCUACGGGAGGCAGCAGUAGGGAAUCUUCCGCAAUGGACGAAAGUCUGACGGAGCAACGCCGCGUGAGUGAAGAAAGGUUUUCGGAUCGUAAAACUCUGUUGUCAGAGAAGAACAAGUUGGAGAGUAACUGCUCCAGCCUUGACGGUAUCUGACCAGAAAGCCACGGCUAACUACGUGCCAGCCGCAGC